GACGUAGGGGGCGAGCGUUGUCCGGAUUUAUUGGGCGUAAAGCGUGCGUAGGCGGCUGCGCAGGUCGGGUGUGAAACCCCGGGGCUCAACCUGGGAACUGCAUCCGAGACUGCAUUGCUAGAGUAUGGGAGAGGGAAGCGGAAUUUCUGGUGUAGCAGUGAAAUGCGUAGAUAUCAGAAGGAACAUCAGUGGCGAAGGCGGCUUCCUGGACCAAUACUGACGAUCAGGUGCGAAAGCGUGGGGAGCAAACAGG
rnacentral:rRNA from 1 species